rnacentral:rRNA from 1 species
GAUGAACGCUGGCGGCGUGCCUAAUACAUGCAAGUCGAGCGAAUGGAUUAAGAGCUUGCUCUUAUGAAGUUAGCGGCGGACGGGUGAGUAACACGUGAGUAACCUGCCCAUAAGACUGGGAUAACUCCGGGAAACCGGGGCUAAUACCGGAUAACAUUUUGAACCGCAUGGUUCGAAAUUGAAAGGCGGCUUCGGCUGUCACUUAUGGAUGGACCCGCGCCGCAUUAGCUAGUUGGUGAGGUAACGGCACACCAAGGCAACGAUGCGUAGCCGACCUGAGAGGGUGAUCGGCCACACUGGGACUGAGACACGGCCCAGACUCCUACGGGAGGCAGCAGUAGGGAAUCUUCCGCAAUGGACGAAAGUCUGACGGAGCAACGCCGCGUGAGUGAUGAAGGCUUUCGGGUCGUAAAACUCUGUUGUUAGGGAAGAACAAGUGCUAGUUGAAUAAGCUGGCACCUUGACGGUACCUAACCAGAAAGCCACGGCUAACUACGUGCCAGCCGCCGCGGUAA